rnacentral:rRNA from 1 species
UACGGGGGGGGCAAGCGUUGUUCGGAAUUACUGGGCGUAAAGGGCUCGUAGGUGGCCAACUAAGUCAGACGUGAAAUCCCUCAGCUUAACUGGGGAACUGCGUCUGAUACUGGAUGGCUUGAGUUUGGGAGAGGGAUGCGGAAUUCCAGGUGUAGCGGUGAAAUGCGUAGAUAUCUGGAGGAACACCGGUGGCGAAGGCGACAUCCUGGACCAACACUGACGCUGAGGAGCGAAAGCCAGGGGAGCAAACGGG